GAUGAACGCUAGCGAUAGGCUUAACACAUGCAAGUCGAGGGGCAGCAUGGUCUUAGCUUGCUAAGACUGAUGGCGACCGGCGCACGGGUGCGUAACGCGUAUGCAACUUGCCUCACAGAGGGGGAUAACCCGUCGAAAGACGGACUAAUACCGCGUACACUUGGGAUAGGGCAUCCUGACCCAAGGAAAUGAAAUUCGCUGUGAGAUAGGCAUGCGUCCCAUUAGCUAGUUGGUGAGGUAACGGCUCGCCAAGGCGACGAUGGGUAGGGGAACUGAGAGGUUGAACCCCCACACUGUGACUGGGACACGGACCAGACUCCUACGGGAGGCAGCAGUGAGGAAUAUUGGUCAAUGGGCGAGAGCCUGAACCAGCCAAGUCGCGUGAAGGAUGACUGUCUUAUGGAUUGUAAACUUCUUUUAUACGGGAAUAACAAGAGCCACGUGUGGCUCCCUGCAUGUACCGUAUGAAUAAGCAUCGGCUAACUCCGUG
rnacentral:rRNA from 1 species